UCCAGUAGCGUAUAUUAAAGUUGUUGCAGUUAAAAAGCUCGUAGUUGAAUUUCGGGGUUAGUAGGUUGGUCAUGCCUCUGGUAUGUACUGGUCUCACUGAUUCCUCCAUCCUGAUGAGCCGUAAUGCCAUUAAUUUGGUGUUGCGGGGAAUUUGGACUGUUACUUUGAAAAAAUUAGAGUGUUUAAAGCAAGCUAACGCUUGAAUACAUUAGCAUGGAAUAAUGAAAUAGGACGUUCGAUCCUAUUUUGUUGGUUUCUAGGAUUGACGUAAUGAUUAAUAGGGAUAGUUGGGGGCAUUAGUAUUCAAUUGUCAGAGGUGAAAUUCUUGGAUUUAUUGAAGACUAACUACUGCGAAAGCAUUUGCCAAGGAUGUUUUCAUUAAUCAAGAACGAAAGUUAGGGGAUCGAAGACGAUCAGAUACCGUCAUAGUCUUAACCAUAAACUAUGCCGACUAGGGAUCGGAUGAUGUUAAUUUUUUAAUGACUCAUUCGGCGCCUUACGGGAAAC
rnacentral:rRNA from 1 species